rnacentral:lncRNA from 10 species
CUCUAAGAUGCCCCAGCGUCUUAAAGUUUUCCACUGACGGUGCUGGCUGCCUGCCAGGGCUGCAAGUGCAGACUGUAUUCCUGUUGCCACCAAUGAGGACUUUGCUGGCACUGGAGAAAGUGCUUGGGAAUGGAGUCUGGGAUCCUUCAGGGGGAAUCACAGCUCCUGGGGAUGGAAUCAGGACACAAAGUGGAGGGGUUCAGAGUCGAGGGUCAGGGUUAGGAUUAGGAAGGUGUGGGUUGUAUUGAGGGGUGUGAUGGUUAAUAUCAAGCAUCAACUUGAUUGGAUUGAAGGAUGGAAAGUACUGUUCCCUGGGGGUGUCUGUGAGGGUGUUGCCAAAGGAGAUUAAGAUUUUACUUAGUGGACUGGGAAAGGCAGACCCACCCUCAAUCUGGGUGGGCACCAUCUAAUCAGCUGCCAGCGUGGCCAGAAUAAAAGCAGGCAGAAGAACGUGGAAAGACUAGACUGGUUUAGCCUCCCAACUUACACGUUUUCCCCUGCUGGAUGCUUCCUGACCUCGACAUUGGAAUCCAAGUUCUUCAGCUUUGGGACUUGGACUGGCAUCUUUGCUCCUCAGCUUGCCGACAGCCUAUUGUGAGACCUCACCUUGUGAUCAUCUACAACAAGAACAAGGAUCUUUGCCAGUUUUGUUCACUGGUUUAUCCAAAGCCCCUAAAACCCUGCCUAGCACAUAGUAGGUACCUGAUAAGUACUUACUGAAUAAAUGAGAAUGAAUGGAUGGCCACAAACUCUUUCUAUCACUGUAUUUCUCAGUUGAGCUUCUCGGUCAGGGUACUGCCUCUCUGGCUGUUUCUGUCUUUGAGACAGACAACUAACACACACACACUCUCUCUCUCUGUUUAUAUCUGUCUCUCUGUGGCUGAC